rnacentral:tRNA from 1 species
GCCCAGAUGGCGAAAUUGGUAGACGCACCACUUUGAGGGGGUGGCGCCGGUUACGGUGUGCAAGUUCGACUCUUGUUCUGGGCA